rnacentral:rRNA from 1 species
CCGGCGCACGGUGAGUAACGCGUAUGCAACUUGCCUAUCAGGAGGGGAUAACCCGGCGAAAGUCGGACUAAUACCGCAUGAAGCAGGGGCCCCGCAUGGGGAUAUUUGCUAAAGAUUCAUCGCUGAUAGAUAGGCAUGCGUUCCAUUAGGCAGUUGGCGGGGUAACGGCCCACCAAACCGACGAUGGAUAGGGGUUCUGAGAGGAAGGUCCCCCACAUUGGUACUGAGACACGGACCAA